GCCCCUUUAGCUCAACGGUUAGAGCAGCAUCCUUUUAAGUUGUGGGUUGUGGGUUCGAAUCCCACAGGGGGCA
rnacentral:tRNA from 13 species